rnacentral:rRNA from 1 species
UGGGGAAUAUUGCACAAUGGACGGAAGUCUGAUGCAGCAACGCCGCGUGCGGGAUGACGGCCUUCGGGUUGUAAACCGCUUUUUCUCAUGACGAAGUUUUUUGACGGUAGUGGGGGAAGAAGCACCGGCUAACUACGUGCCAGCAGCCGCGGUGAUACGUAGGGUGCGAGCGUUGUCCGGAAAUAUUGGGCGUAAAGAGCUUGUAGGCGGUUUGUCGCGUCGAUAGUGCAAACUCAGUGCUUAACGCUGAGCCUGCUGUUGAUACGGGCAGACUAGAGGAAGGUAGGGGAGAAUGGAAUUCCCGGUGGAGCGGUGGAAUGCGCAGAUAUCGGGAGGAACACCGGUGGCGAAGGCGGUUCUCUGGGCCUUUCCUGACGCUGAGAAGCGAAAGCGUGGGGAGCGAACAGG